rnacentral:tRNA from 1 species
AGAGUUAUAUUUAAUAACAUUUGGGUUGCAUUAAAAAAGUACUGAUAAAUUUUAAUUUACCUUA